CUUAGUCUGGUUUCGGCUGAUGAUUAUCGGAUCAUGGGUCGAAAUCGGAUCCCCA
rnacentral:sRNA from 1 species